ACCAAACCACCCAGGCACCUCUUGAAUUCUGAGCUCUGCUCACACAAUGAAUCUGGCAUUUAAAGAUGUGCUGUUGAGUUCUUUACAAGACAGCAGUACAAGGAGAGUUACCUAUUUUUCUUCUUGAAGGUUGAGAAGAAAUUGGUGCUGAGAAUCUCUGCCUUCAGAGAUUUCUGCAUUUUUCCAAGGGAAACCAGCAAAAUAUGAAGAAGUCCUGUAUUCUCAAGGUAGGAGAGUUCUUUAUGGCAUGUAGGCACAUGAUGGGAGGCCAGUAACUUAUCACACUGGUGAGGAAUGUCUGUCAUGCUUUCUCCUCCAACCAAGUACAAAGGCAUCCUUAUCAUUUGCGGAUGUGACUGUGGGCUUUACCCAGGAGGAGUGGCAGCACCUGGACCCUGCUCAGAGGACCCUGUACAGGGAGGUGAUGCUGGAGAACUAUAGCCACCUUGUCUCAGUGGGUAAGAAUUGUUUCCCGUGUAGACUCCUAGUAUGCACUUUCAUUCUUGGGCCCAGUUUGGCCUCUGGGCUUGUUUCUGUGAAAUGAGCGCAACACUCGGUUUUCCUCAAUUUGGAGCUGCAGCAAUGCCAGCCCCAGUGAGCUGGCUCUGUGAUGACCAAGAGAGCAAGCUGUUGUAGAGGCUACUCCACUGAGGAAGGAAGGCACAUCCUGGUUGAUCUGUAAACCGAGACCAACACAUGUGCAGAACACUUGUUCAUAAUGAAUUACCCCUCUAGCCUAAGGGAUGACUCUGUUCCGUCUCCCAAGUAAACCUUUUGCAGUGUGGUCUUCCUUGAAAAGCUCACAUCCUUUUAGCCCAAGUAAUGGAAAAGGAACCAGCACAAAUGCAUGCAAAAAGAUUAUAAGAAAAAAGGGGUGAAAAGUAUUGGGAAGAAAGCUAGUUGGUGAUGGAAUUGUCAUCUGAUCAAAGUGGUCAUAAAGUAGGUAAAUUAUGUGACCAAAUAUUAAAUCAUGAGUUUCCAAAGGGUAACUAAUUGAAUUAAUUAUCUCUGUGAUACAAGUAUUUAAGAAAGAUAUUAAUAAGGGAAUAGCAAACACAUGGCAGGGUGUCAAACUGAGAAAAGAGAAGAGAAAAUAAAAUUACAGUAAAGAAAGCAAAUUGGGGGC